GACGAACGCUGGCGGCGUGCCUAAUACAUGCAAGUCGAACGCUUUUUCUUUCACCGGAGCUUGCUCCACCGAAAGAAAAAGAGCGGCGAACGGGUGAGUAACACGUGGGUAACCUGCCCAUCAGAAGGGGAUGACACUUGGAAAGAGGUGCUAAUACCGUAUAACACUAUUUUCCGCAUGGAAGAAAGUUGAAAGGUGCGUUUACGUCACUGAUGGAUGGACCCGCGGUGCAUUAGCUAGUUGGUGAGGUAACGGCUCACCAAGGCAACGAUGCAUAGCCGACCUGAGAGGGUGAUCGGCCACACUGGGACUGAGAAACGGCCCAGACUCCUACGGGAGGCAGCAGUAGGGAAUCUUCGGAAAUGGACGAAAGUCUGACCGAGCAACGCCGCGUGAGUGAAGAAGGUUUUCGGAUCGUAAAACUCUGUUGUUAGAGAAGAACAAGGAUGAGAGUAAAAUGUUCAUCCCUUGACGGUAUCUAACCAGAAAGCCACGGCUAACUACGUGCCAGCAGCCGCGGUAA
rnacentral:rRNA from 1 species